UUCCGGUUGAUCCUGCCGGACCCGACUGCUAUCAGAGUGGGACUAAGCCAUGCGAGUCGACAUAGCAAUAUGUGGCAUACGGCUCAGUAACACGUAGUCAACAUGCCCAGGGGACGUGGAUAACCUCGGGAAACUGAGGAUAAACCGCGAUAGGUCAUCACUUCUGGAAUGGGUAAUGACUUAAAUCUAUAUGGCCCCUGGAUUGGACUGCGGCCGAUCAGGCUGUUGGUGAGGUAAUGGCCCACCAAACCUGUAACCGGUACGGGCUCUGAGAGGAGGAGCCCGGAGAUGGGCACUGAGACAAGGGCCCAGGCCCUAUGGGGCGCAGCAGGCGCGAAACCUCUGCAAUAGGCGAAAGCUUGACAGGGUUACUCUGAGUGAUUUCCGUUAAGGAGAUCUUUUGGCACCUCUAAAAAUGGUGCAGAAUAAGGGGUGGGCAAGUCUGGUGUCAGCCGCCGCGGUAAUACCAGCACCCCGAGUGGUCGGGACGUUUAUUGGGCCUAAAGCAUCCGUAGCCGGUUCUACAAGUCUUCCGUUAAAUCCACCUGCUUAACAGAUGGGCUGCGGAAGAUACUAUAGAGCUAGGAGGCGGGAGAGGCAAGCGGUACUCGAUGGGUAGGGGUAAAAUCCGUUGAUCCAUUGAAGACCACCAGUGGCAAAGGCGGCUUGCCAGAACGCGCUCGACGGUGAGGGAUGAAAGCUGGGGGAGCAAACCGGAUUAGAUACCCGGGUAGUCCCAGCUGUAAACGAUGCAGACUCGGUGAUGAGUUGGCUUAUUGCUAACUCAGUGCCGCAGGGAAGCCGUUAAGUUUGCCGCCUGGGGAGUACGGUCGCUAGACUGAAACUUAAAGGAAUUGGCGGGGGAGCACCACAAGGGGUGAAGCCUGCGGU
rnacentral:rRNA from 1 species